rnacentral:rRNA from 1 species
UACGUAGGGAGCGAGCGUUGUCCGAAGUUACUGGGCGUAAAGCGCGCGUAGGCGGGUUUGAAAGUCGGAGGUGAAAUGCUGGGGCUCAACUCCAUGCAGUGCCUCCGAUACUUCAAGUCUUGAGUGCGGUAGGGAGAAGUGGAAUGGCUGGUGUAGCGGUGAAAUGCGUAGAUAAUCAGGAGGAACACCGGUGGUGUAGACGGCUUUCUGGACCGUAACUGACGCUGAGACACGAAAGCGUGGGUAGCAAACAG